rnacentral:misc_RNA from 1 species
ACCCCACCCCCAUAACAAAUAUCCAGCAUCUGUUUCUCUGCCCCUCUCUCUCAUGCUCACUCCACUCACAUGAUGGAGGAGGAACACACCAUGGACAGGAAAGUAGGGACUAAUGAAGAUGUUGAGGUGAGGAAAGGACCAUGGACCAUGGAAGAGGAUCUCAUCCUCAUCAACUACAUAGCCAACCAUGGCGACGGAGUCUGGAACACGCUGGCUCGAUCGGCCGGACUGAAGAGGACUGGAAAGAGCUGCAGGCUUCGCUGGCUGAAUUACCUGAGGCCUGAUGUUCGUCGGGGCAACAUCACACCAGAGGAGCAGCUUCUGAUCAUGGAACUUCACGACAGAUGGGGUAACAGAUGGUCGAAAAUUGCUAAGGAGCUCCCAGGACGAACAGAUAAUGAAAUCAAGAACUUCUGGAGGACCAGAGUCCAGAAGAAAUCCAAGAAUGGCGAAUCCUCGGAGGGCCAAAUCUCCAUGCUUUCAGAUGAAACUAGUGCCAUGCAGAUGGAAGAUGUCGAUGUUGGUGUGUCGCAGACGAGCUACGAUCAAGGCCAGACUUCGAACAACCUUGAUGCAUUUGAAAUUCCUUUCGAACCUGGCGAUAACCUCCUGUCCGUCGAGGAACUGUGGGCUAUGCAGUACUAAUCUCUCAAAUGCUGCUAGAAGGGAUAUAUCUACCCUCCAUGAGGAAUAUAUAUAGGCAUGGUACGUAAAUGAUUUGCUCUGAUUAUGAAUCUAUGUAAUGCUGCAGUAAGUUGGUUGCUGUACAAAAUACUUGUUGUUAAGCUUAAACAUGUAAUAAUCAUGGACUGG